rnacentral:rRNA from 1 species
AUCGGUGAGGCCGGGCACUCUGGAUGGACUGCCGGCGACAAGCCGGAGGAAGUGGGGAUGACGUCAAGUCAUCAUGGCCCUUAUGUCCAGGGCGACACACGUGCUACAAUGGCCGGCACAGCGGGAAGCGAAGGGCGACUCUGAGCGGAUCCCUUAAAGCCGGUCCCAGUUCGGAUUGCAGUCUGCAACUCGACUGCAUGAAGUUGGAAUCGCUAGUAAUCGUGGAUCAGCCAAGCCGCGGUGAAUACGUUCCCGGGCCUU